rnacentral:rRNA from 1 species
AAAGUAGCAAUACUUUGGUGGCGACCGGCGCACGGGUGAGUAACGCGUAUGCAACCCAUCUAUCAGAGGGGGAUAACCCGGCGAAAGUCGGACUAAUACCGCAUAAAACAGGGGCACCGCAUGGUGCUAUUUGUUAAAAAUUUAUUGCUGAUAGAUGGGCAUGCGUUCCAUUAGGUAGUUGGAGAGGUAACGGCUCACCAAGCCUACGAUGGAUAGGGGAACUGAGAGGUUGGUCCCCCACACUGGUACUGAGACACGGACCAGACUCCUACGGGAGGCAGCAGUGAGGAAUAUUGGUCAAUGGGCGAGAGCCUGAACCAGCCAAGUCGCGUGAAGGAAGAAGGAUCUAUGGUUCGUAAACUUCUUUUGCAGGGGAAUAAAGUGCAGGACGUGUCCUGUUUUGUAUGUACCCUGAGAAUAAGGAUCGGCUAACUCCGUGCCAGCAGCCGCGGUAAUACGGAGGAUCCGAGCGUUAUCCGGAUUUAUUGGGUUUAAAGGGUGCGUAGGUGGUUUAAUAAGUCAGCGGUGAAAGUUUGCAGCUUAACUGUAAAAAUGCCGUUGAAACUGUUAGACUUGAGUGUAAAUGAGGUAGGCGGAAUGCGUGGUGUAGCGGUGAAAUGCUUAGAUAUCACGAAGAACUCCGAUUG